UAGGCAAUACCAAGAGGAAAUGAACUAAUGAAGUGUGGGAUGUUGCCUUGGAACUCCUUUUCAAUACUGAGACAUUUUACUAACGGUUUAUGAAAUUUUGUUGCACCUGCAGCUGAAAAAUUUCACUGUAUAUGUGUAAGUGUAUCUGACAUCUAAUCUUCAAAAUCAUCUUGUUUUAUUAAUAGGAUCUUGAAGUUUGUUACCUUAGAACACUUCAAAAAUUUCUAGUAUUGAUGUUCCAUUGUAUUAAAUGUAGAGCAACUUGGUGUAAAUAUAAUGACAGAGAGUAAAUUUGGGUUACAGACGUGACUCCUUAACACAGUCUGUAGAAACACAGUAAAAGUCACUGAUAGAGGUCUUUUAAGGCAGUGCUUCUGCACCUUCCUAGUGCUGUAACCCUUUAAUACAGUUUCUCAUGUGCUGGUCACCCCCAACCAUAAAAUUACUUAAUUGCUAUUUCAUAAUUGUAAUUUUGCUACUGUUAUGAAUUGUAAUGAUAUUUGAUAUAAGAGCCACAAAAGGGUCACAACUACAGGUUGAGAAUCACUGUUUUAAUUUUUCAGCCUUUUGACAUGCUAGAUUGAAGUUUCUAUUCUUUACAAUGAGGGGAAAACAUUUCAGAGCAAACUGACAAUGGAAAUAAACUAUUUCCUUUUUCAUUAAUUCAUAGUUUUUAGCAUCUUCAAAAUCAUUUUAUUAGCUUGUUUGCCUGAUUAUGUUAGGUAAUGACUCUUCCAUAUAACUAGUUCUAGUGGUAUAAUAGUUUGUGUAUUGAAAGAAAUAAAAUUACGUCUCAGUUGAAUUCUUCAUAUCAAAUUUAUAAGUCAAAUUAUCCUUAGCCAUUAAAGACAGUCAUUUUUGUCUUUUUUAUGUAAAUUAUUCAAAUUUAUUCUCAGAAAAGAUAAGUAAACUGGUAAAUGUUUAAUAUGUUUCAGAAAAACUGAUGAGACAGUUUUUUAUGUGCUAUUAAGUGAUAGUUAUGAGCUAGUGAUAAAAGAACGUUAGCAAGGAUGUCGCUACAUCCUUGAUAAAAGAACAAAGGAGUUGGGGCUGGAAUAAUAGCUCAGUUGGUAAAGCCCUUGCCAUACAAGCUCCGGAGCAUGAGGGUGUGUCCCAGAGGUGUGGUGGCACACAUGUGUAAUCCCAGAGCUGGGGAGGUGGACCUCUCACUGCCAGCCAGUUUAGCCCAGUUGAAAUCCUGGCCAGCAAGAGAUGCUGCUUCAACAGAGGUGAACCGUGUUCCGGAGAGGAUAGCUAAACGAGGUUGGCUUCUGGCCUCCACCAUAGAAGCCUACACUAGCUCUUAGACAAGUGAACAAACCUGCUUUUUGCUGUCCCAGAGUACGAAUUUUUUUUUUUUUUUAAUGUUGCAAGUCUUAUUUUUUUUGUAAGUAAUUGUUAUUGAUAUGUAUUCUGUGGCUUAAAUUUUCUAAUGAGAUAAUCAAAAUUCCUAGAUUAAUUAUAUGUAGCUUUAAAGAGCCUGGUCUGCUGAGUAACUUAAUUUAGUGGUUUUCAUCUUUAUUUAAAUAAUGUGUUCAGCCUCUCUCUUUGGAUUUAACAGUAAACAGGUUGUAGUUUUGAAACAUUUUAAAUAUAGCAUUCAGGUUUAGCCAUUAUAGAAAUGAAAAUAAUACCACCAUGUGCUCCACAGUAAAGUUCCUCAGUAAUUGUUAGUUGACUGCCUUUUCCUGAUCACUGAAACUGAUUUGCUUGUUCUUCCGUAGAGAACGAUGCUGCUUUCUCACAUAGCCCAGUAGCCCUGACUUGAAACAUCUUAGUGAACAUGACUUGUAAAGAUCUGAAUUUUGUGUUUAAAACAUUAAGGCUGUAUUGUUCAUCUGGAUGGAUUUACAUCCAGAAAGAUAACUGUACUCACCCCACAUGCCGUGUACCUUCCACUGUAACCUUGGUUUGUGUGUGUGUGUUUUUUUCAUGAAUUACACUCAUCAGUGUUUUUUAAGUGCAGGAGGAUGUGGUAUUG
rnacentral:lncRNA from 1 species